GGAGGAGGGGCAAGAGGAGGGACAGGAGAGGCUGGGUGCCCAGGUGCUCUCUGAGCAGGACCUUCCAUGCGGCUCUGGGGGGCCCCUGGCACUGGCAGACCACAGGCACCCAGGAUAACUCAGUACACAUGGGUUCUCAGCUUCCUGUUCACAGAGAAACCUCAGACAAGAAGCACGUCGCCCAUUUCUCAUCAAGGCCAACCCCAGACCACGAGAGCGCUUUCUCUGCGUCAGCCCCAGCACCCCAGCGCCCCUGCCUCCGGGCGCCCGCGGCCUCCGCACUCCAGUGGCCCAGACCUGGCUGAGGCAGCUCCCGUGGUAGAUCAAGCCUCACAGGCGGCUGGAAGAGCCAGUUCUGGGCUGGGCCUGUGGGAACAGGCGUCUGUUAGUCAGGGUUUCAGGAAUGCGGCCUUCGAAGCCUGAAGCGGGGAAUGGCGGCUCUGGGCCCUCAAGGGGCAGGCGGUGAGCCUGGGAGGCCAGGCCGGGCUGACCCAAGGGGAGAGGACCCUCUCCGCCCACUGCCGCUGGCCCUGGGCAGGUCUAGAGCCUGGGGGUCUCCAGAGGCACAAUCCCUUAUCUCCGGGAGAAGGCAGAGGGCAGAGGCAGGAAACAAAUCUCCUGUCAAAAUUCCUAAUUAAAAUACUAAGUAAGUGAUGGCUCCAGGCUGAAACACCGGACACUGAGAGAAUAAGGGAAAAUCAGCCCCGACAGCCAGGGCUAACAAGACGGUUAAUUACAGCCCGAGAAGAACGUUAACAGUAUUAAUUCUAACCACAAAGGAGGAAAAGAGAAGACCGCCUAAGAAGGAGAAGGAGGGUCCCUUUCCCAGAUGAGGCUGCCCUAACCACUGGGACCUCGGCCCCUCCCAGGCCUGAGGGAGCCCAGCUCUGCCUGGCCCCACCCAUCUCACACCAGCCCUGCCUGACCCGCCCACCUCACCCCAACCCUGGCUGGCCCCGCCCACCCUUGCCUCAGCCCUGCCCGGCCCCUCCCACCCUUGCCCAGCCCCUGCUUGGCCCCUCCCACUCGUCCCAACCCUUCGUGUCACCGCCAACCCUUGCCCCAGUCCGGCCCGGCCCCUCCCACCCUUGCCCCAGCCCUGCCUGGCCCCUCCCACCCUUGCCCCAGUCCGGCCCGGCCCCUCCCACCCUUGCCCCAGUCCUGCCCGGCCCCUCCCACCCUUGCCCCAGUCCUGCCCGGCCCCUCCCACCCUUGCCCCAGCCCUGCCCGGCCCCUCCCACCCUUGCCCCAGUCCUGCCCGGCCCCUCCCACCCUUGCCCCAGUCCUGCCCGGCCCCUCCCA
rnacentral:lncRNA from 1 species